GACGAACGCUGGCGGCGUGCCUAAUACAUGCAAGUCGAGCGAUGAAGCUUGGUGCUUGCACCAAUUUGGAGAGCAGCGAACGGGUGAGUAAUGCGUGGGGAAUCUGCCUUUGAGCGGGGGACAACAUUUGGAAACGAAUGCUAAUACCGCAUAACAACUUUAAACAUAAGUUUUAAGUUUGAAAGAUGCAAUUGCCUCACUCAAAGAUGAUCCCGCGUUGUAUUAGCUAGUUGGUGAGGGAAAGGCUCACCAAGGCGAUGAUACAUAGCCGGCCUGAGUGGGUGAGCGGCCAAAUUGGGACUGAGACACGGCCCAAGCUCCUACGGGAGGGAGCAGGAGGGGAAUUUUGGCAAAGGACGGAAGUCUGAACGAGCAACGCCGGGGGAGGGAAGGAAGUUGUCGGAGCGUAAAACUCUGUUGGUAGGGAAGAAAGAUGGGGAGAGUGAAAAGCUCAUGAAGUGACGGUAACUAAAGAGAAAGCGACGGCUAACUACGUG
rnacentral:rRNA from 1 species